UACGAAGGGGGCUAGCGUUGCUCGGAAUGACUGGGCGUAAAGGGCGCGUAGGCGGUUUGGACAGUCAGAUGUGAAAUUCCUGGGCUCAACCUGGGGGCUGCAUUUGAUACGUUCGGACUAGAGUGGGGAAGAGGGUCGUGGAAUUCCCAGUGUAGAGGUGAAAUUCGUAGAUAUUGGGAAGAACACCGGUGGCGAAGGCGGCCAUCUGGACCGGAACUGACGCUGAGGCGCGAAAGCGUGGGGAGCAAACAGG
rnacentral:rRNA from 1 species